UCCAGACUCCUACGGGAGGCAGCAGUGGGGAAUAUUGCACAAUGGGGGGAACCCUGAUGCAGCGACGCCGCGUGGGUGAAGGAGCACCUCGGUGCGUAAAGCCCUCUCGGCAGGGAAGAAGCAGACGGUACCUGACUAAGAAGCCCCGGCUAACUACGUGCCAGCAGCCGCGGUAAUACGUAGGGGGCAAGCGUUAUCCGGAUUUACUGGGUGUAAAGGGGGCGCAGACGGCAAUGCAAGCCAGGAGUGAAAGCCCGGGGCCCAACCCCGGGACUGCUCUUGGAACUGCAUGGCUGGAGUACAGGAGGGGCAGGCGGAAUUCCUAGUGUAGCGGUGAAAUGCGUAGAUAUUAGGAGGAACACCGGUGGCGAAGGCGGCCUGCUGGACUGUGACUGACGUUGAGGCCCGAAGGCGUGGGGAGCAAACAGGAUUAGAUACCCGUGUA
rnacentral:rRNA from 1 species